rnacentral:rRNA from 1 species
CGGCGGACGGGUGAGUAACACGUGGGUAACCUGGCCUGUAAGGACUGGGAGUAACUCCGGAAAACCGGGGCUAAUACCGGAUGCUUGAUUGAACCGCAUAGGUUCAAUCAUAAAAGGUGGCUUUUAGCUACCACUUACAGAUGGACCCGCGGCGCAUUAGCUAGUUGGUGAGGUAACGGCUCACCAAGGCGACGAUGCGUAGCCGACCUGAGAGGGUGAUCGGCCACACUGGGACUGAGACACGGCCCAGACUCCUACGGGAGGCAGCAGUAGGGAAUCUUCCGCAAUGGACGAAAGUCUGACGGAGCAACGCCCGCGUGAGUGAUGAAGGUUUUCGGAUCGUAAAACUCUGUUGUUAGGGAAGAACAAGUACCGUUCGAAUAGGGCGGUACCUUGACGGUACCUAACCAGAAAGCCACGGCUAACUACGUGCCAGCCGCGGC